ACUCCAGACUCCUACGGGAGGCAGCAGUGAGGAAUAUUGGUCAAUGGUCGGGAGACUGAACCAGCCAAGUCGCGUGAGGGAAGACGGUCCUAUGGAUUGUAAACCUCUUUUGCCGGGGAGCAAAAAGCGGUACGUGUACCGCAUCGAGAGUACCCGGAGAAAAAGCAUCGGCUAACUCCGUGCCAGCAGCCGCGGUAAUACGGAGGAUGCGAGCGUUAUCCGGAUUUAUUGGGUUUAAAGGGUGCGUAGGCGGGCUGUAAAGUCAGGGGUAAAGGCCCGGGGCUCACCCCCGGCGAGCCGUUGAAACUGGCUGUCUUGAGAUGUCGAGAGGUAUGCGGAAUGCGCAGUGUAGCGGUGAAAUGCUUAGAUAUUGCGCAGAACUCCGAUUGCGAAGGCAGCAUACCGGCGGCGAUCUGACGCUGAGGCACGAAAGCGUGGGUAUCGAACAGGAUUAGAUACCCCGGUACA
rnacentral:rRNA from 1 species